AUACGUAGGGUGCAAGCGUUAUCCGGAAUUAUUGGGCGUAAAGGAGCUCGUAGGCGGUUUGUCGCGUCUGCUGUGAAAACUGGGAGGCUCAACCUCCAGCCUGCAGUGGGUACGGGCAGACUAGAGUGCGGUAGGGGAGAUUGGAAUUCCUGGUGUAGCGGUGGAAUGCGCAGAUAUCAGGAGGAACACCGAUGGCGAAGGCGGGUCUCUGGGCCGUAACUGACGCUGAGGAGCGAAAGCGUGGGGAGCGAACAGG
rnacentral:rRNA from 1 species